GAACCUGUGUGUUACUGGCGCGAACAUGGUGAACCAUGAGGGAGCGCACAGGAUAACAGCCGUACGCCUGGGCAAAGUAU
rfam:Paenibacillus curdlanolyticus YK9 ctg107, whole genome shotgun sequence.